CAGUAGCCACGGUAAUACGAAGGGGGCUAGCGUUGUUCGGAAUCACUGGGCGUAAAGCGCACGUAGGCGGACACUUAAGUCAGAGGUGAAAUCCCAAGGCUCAACCUUGGAACUGCCUUUGAUACUGGGUGUCUUGAGUUCGGGAGAGGUGAGUGGAACUGCGAGUGUAGAGGUGAAAUUCGUAGAUAUUCGCAAGAACACCAGUGGCGAAGGCGGCUCACUGGCCCGAUACUGACGCUGAGGUGCGAAAGCGUGGGGAGCAAACAGGAUUAGAUACCCCUGUAGUCCCUGUCUCUUAUAC
rnacentral:rRNA from 1 species